rnacentral:tRNA from 2 species
GGGUGAAUAGCUCAGCUGGGAGAGCAUCGCCCUUACAAGGCGAGGGUCGGGGGUUCGAUCCCCUCUUCACCCACCA